rnacentral:rRNA from 1 species
GACGAACGCUGGCGGCGUGCUUAACACAUGCAAGUCGAACGAAGAGCGAUGGAAGCUUGCUUCUAUCAAUCUUAGUGGCGAACGGGUGAGUAACGCGUAAUCAACCUGCCCUUCAGAGGGGGACAACAGUUGGAAACGACUGCUAAUACCGCAUACGAUCUAACCUCGGCAUCGAGGAUAGAUGAAAGGUGGCCUCUACAUGUAAGCUAUCACUGAAGGAGGGGAUUGCGUCUGAUUAGCUAGUUGGAGGGGUAACGGCCCACCAAGGCGAUGAUCAGUAGCCGGUCUGAGAGGAUGAACGGCCACAUUGGGACUGAGACACGGCCCAGACUCCUACGGGAGGCAGCAGUGGGGAAUCUUCCGCAAUGGACGAAAGUCUGACGGAGCAGCGCCGCGUGAGUGAUGACGGCCUUCGGGUUGUAAAGCUCUGUUAAUCGGGACGAAAGGCCUUCUUGCGAAUAGUUAGAAGGAUUGACGGUACCGGAAUAGAAAGCCACGGCUAACUACGUG